rnacentral:rRNA from 1 species
AUUGAACGCUGGCGGCAGGCCUAACACAUGCAAGUCGAGCGGAAACGAUCCUAGCUUGCUAGGAGGCGUCGAGCGGCGGACGGGUGAGUAACGCGUGAGAAUCUACCCAUGAGUGGGGGACAACCCGGGGAAACUCCGGGCUAAUACCGCAUACGCCCUACGGGGUAAAGCAGGGGACCUUCGGGCCUUGCGCUGAUGGAUGAGCUCGCGUCGGAUUAGCUUGUUGGUGAGGUAAAGGCUCACCAAGGCGACGAUCCGUAGCUGGUCUGAGAGGAUGAUCAGCCACACCGGGACUGAGACACGGCCCGGACUCCUACGGGAGGCAGCAGUGGGGAAUCUUGGACAAUGGGGGCAACCCUGAUCCAGCCAUGCCGCGUGUGUGAAGAAGGCCUUCGGGUUGUAAAGCACUUUCAGCAGGGAGGAAGGCUUACCCCUAAUACGGGUGAGUACUUGACGUUACCUGCAGAAGAAGCACCGGCUAAUUUCGUG